UACGAGGGGUCCUAGCGUUGUUCGGAAUCAUUGGGCGUAAAGCGCAUGUAGGCGGCCUAUCAAGUCAGGUGUGAAAGCCCUGGGCUUAACCCAGGAAGUGCACUUGAUACUGAUGGGCUUGAAUAUGGGAGAGGAUAGUGGAAUUCCUGGUGUAGUGGUGAAAUACGUAGAUAUCAGGAGGAACACCGGUGGCGAAGGCGGCUAUCUGGCCCAAUAUUGACGCUGAGAUGCGAAAGUGCGGGGAUCAAACAGG
rnacentral:rRNA from 1 species